CUACGGGGCGCACCAGUGAGGAAUUUUGCGCAAUGGGGGCAACCCUGACGCAGCAACGCCGCGUGAGUGAAGAAGGCCUUUGGGUCGUAAAGCUCUGUCAACAGGGAAGAAGUUACCUUGUAUUAAUAGUGCAUGGUAUUGACGGUACCUGUGGAGGAAGCAUCGGCUAACUCCGUGCCAGCAGCCGCGGUAAUACGGGGGAUGCAAGCGUUAUUCAGAAUCAUUGGGCGUAAAGGGCACGCAGGCGGUCUUGUCAGUCAGAUGUGAAAGCCCGGGGCUCAACCCCGGACGUGCAUUUGAAACAGCAAGACUUGAGUACGGUAGAGGAAAGCGGAAUUCCUGGUGUAGAGGUGAAAUUCGUAGAUAUCAGGAGGAACACCGGUGGCGAAGGCGGCUUUCUGGACCGAAACUGACGCUGAGGUGCGAAGGCGUGGGUAGCGAACAGGAUUAGAUACCCGGGUAGUC
rnacentral:rRNA from 1 species